rnacentral:rRNA from 1 species
GACGAACGCUGGCGGCGUGCUUAACACAUGCAAGUCGAACGGAAAGGCCCUGCUUUUGUGGGGUGCUCGAGUGGCGAACGGGUGAGUAACACGUGAGUAACCUGCCCUUGACUUUGGGAUAACUUCAGGAAACUGGGGCUAAUACCGGAUAGGAGCUCCUGCUGCAUGGUGGGGGUUGGAAAGUUUCGGCGGUUGGGGAUGGACUCGCGGCUUAUCAGCGUGUUGGUGGGGUAGUGGCUUACCAAGGCUUUGACGGGUAGCCGGCCUGAGAGGGUGACCGGCCACAUUGGGACUGAGAUACGGCCCAGACUCCUACGGGAGGCAGCAGUGGGGAAUAUUGCACAAUGGGCGGAAGCCUGAUGCAGCAACGCCGCGUGCGGGAUGACGGCCUUCGGGUUGUAAACCGCGUUCGCCUGUGACGAAGCGUGAGUGACGGUAAUGGGUAAAGAAGCACCGGCUAACUACGUG